rnacentral:lncRNA from 1 species
GCGGUGACAAGUGGUGGCAGGAAAAACCAAAACAAAACAGAAAUUAGGGAACUCGAAAAAUAAUAAUUUUUGAAGAGAUUUUCAGCAAGAAUUCAAGAUUAAAACCUUUGAAAGAUUGAGAGAAACAUGAUUGAAGAGAUCACCUAGCUUUAAAUAGGUUUGAAUUUGAUUUCUGACGGCCAAAAUAAAGAAGAAUCAUCGAUUAAACAAGAUG